rnacentral:misc_RNA from 1 species
GAUGAAGAACGUAGCGAAAUGCGAUAAGUAAUGUGAAUUGCAGAAUUCAGUGAAUCAUCGAAUCUUUGAACGCCCAUUGCGUCCCUUGGUAUUCCGAGGGGCAUGCCUGUUCGAGCGUCAUUAUAACCCCUCAAGCUCAGCUUGGUAUUGGGGCCUGCCAUCCUGGCAGCCCUUAAAAUCAGUGGCGGUGCCAUCCGGCUCUAAGCGUAGUAACUCUUCUCGCUAUGGAGUCCUGGUGGAUGCUUGCCAUUAAUCUUUUAACUUCUAUGGUUGACCUCGGAUCAGGUAGGGAUACCCGCUGAACUUAAGCAUAUCAAUAAGCGGAGGA